rnacentral:rRNA from 1 species
AAUGGGCGAAAGCCUGACGCAGCGACGCCGCGUGAGGGAAGAAGGUUUUCGGAUCGUAAACCUCUGUCAGGAGGGAAGAACCCCUUAAGAUCGAACAGGUCUUGAGGCUGACGGUACCUCCAAAGGAAGCACCGGCUAACUCCGUGCCAGCAGCCGCGGUAAUACGGAGGGUGCAAGCGUUAAUCGGAAUCACUGGGCGUAAAGCGUGCGUAGGCUGUUUGGCAAGCCAGACGUGAAAGCCCUCGGCUCAACCGAGGAACUGCGUUUGGAACUGCCAGACUUGAGUCCGAGAGAGGGUGGCGGAAUUCCGGGUGUAGGAGUGAAAUCCGUAGAUAUCCGGAGGAACACCGGUGGCGAAGGCGGCCGCCUGGAUCGGUACUGACGCUGAGGUACGAAAGCGUGGGGAGCAAA